CCAAAACCCCAUGGUCCUAACAUCUAGCUUCGGUCAGAACCGCCACACGCACUACACGCGCCGCCGCUGGUACCUGGAUCACCGUAGCUCCGCCGCCAGAUUUCUAGGCCGCUCAAGUAGGUUUGUGGAAUUUUGAGAGUUGGGAGUUUCGGACAAGGAGAAGAUGAUUGGAUCAGUUGUGACAGAAACCGACAGUGGACUUUGGGUGACUGAUGGUGGAGGAAUGCAGUUUUGGCGAAUCGAGUUUGGGUUGGAAAAGAAGAAUGGUAAGGAUCUCGGUUGGAUAUGUUUUGCUUUGUGUUAUUGUACUAGUGAAGAUAUGGUUGCGGGAAUUGUUGAAUUGGAAUUGGUUGUGUUGCUUAAAUUGUAUUGGAACUUUGGCAUGGAAAUGGAAAGGGGAUUGUAAUGGUUAAAAGAA